rnacentral:rRNA from 1 species
GGCACCUUCGGUGUCCGAGUUGUAAUUUGAAGAAGGUAACUUUGGAGUUGGCUCUUGUCUAUGUUCCUUGGAACAGGACGUCACAGAGGGUGAGAAUCCCGUGCGAUGAGAUGUCCAACUCUAUGUAAAGUGCUUUCGAAGAGUCGAGUUGUUUGGGAAUGCAGCUCUAAGUGGGUGGUAAAUUCCAUCUAAAGCUAAAUAUUGGCGAGAGACCGAUAGCGAACAAGUACAGUGAUGGAAAGAUGAAAAGAACUUUGAAAAGAGAGUGAAAAAGUACGUGAAAUUGUUGAAAGGGAAGGGUUUGAGAUCAGACUUGGUAUUUUGUAUGUCUUGCUUUCGGGUGGGGCCUCUGCAGUUUACUGGGCCAGCAUCGGUUUGGACGGUAGGAUAAUGACAUUGGAAUGUGGCACUACUUCGGUGGUGUGUUAUAGACUUUGUUGAUACUGCCUGUCUAGACCGAGGACUGCGUCUUUGACUAGGAUGCUGGCAUAAUGAUCCU